AGAAUAAAUCUAAAUUAGAAGAGUAUUCUUUUCAUGUUUUUAGAGAGUUAGUGGUUGGUGCAAGCUAACAACAGAAAAGGUGAAAUGGACUAAUGAUUAUUUGAAAGGAAACCAUAACUUUCAGGUUGGCACCCCUUACCGUGCAGCUUCUUUCAUUGAGAAGAUUGAGAUAGUAUCUCGUUUUGAUAAAGCAGAUGCUAAUUGAGGUGGUACCGCGUAUUACUUGUAAUAACGCCCUCACG
rnacentral:ncRNA from 1 species